AGAGGAAGGAAACGCGUAAAACAUGCGAGCACUACGUGCCCGAGUCUCGAGCUCAAGUAAACAUGGCCAAAGUUGACUUUCGCUUGCAGGAAACGAGAGUUAACUUUAACUAACACUUGUAGGAAAUUCAGGCUGAUAAUUAGUUGAUACCACAGUCCUGGGUACACUGUGUCCACGAGGCAGUGAAGACGUACUACAUAUAUUCUCUUCUCUUCUUCUACUUCUCUGUGCUUUGCUACCACUUGCAGCGUCAUGCCGUUUAUAAGUUUAACCAUUGCAUGCUCUCCUUAGAUGGGCCGAAAGUCCUGCAGAGGUCAAUGGAUAUUAUAGUCCACAGCAAAACCGAAUAGUAUUUUUGGCUGGAAUCCUGCAAUCUCCGUUUUACAGAAAAGGUUACCCAAAAUAUCUCAACUAUGGAUCAUUGGCAAUGGUUAUUGGACACGAAAUUACUCACGGAUUUGACAGCACAGGUAGUUAUGGCUAUAUAUAAUGUAUGUCAAUUAAUUUGAUCAGUA